rnacentral:rRNA from 1 species
GUAGGUGGCAAGCGUUGUCCGGAAUUAUUGGGCGUAAAGCGCGCGCAGGCGGUUCUUUAAGUCUGAUGUGAAAGCCCACGGCUCAACCGUGGAGGGUCAUUGGAAACUGGAGAACUUGAGUACAGAAGAGGAAAGCGGAAUUCCACGUGUAGCGGUGAAAUGCGUAGAGAUGUGGAGGAACACCAGUGGCGAAGGCGGCUUUCUGGUCUGUAACUGACGCUGAGGCGCGAAAGCGUGGGGAGCAAACAGGGAUUAGAUACCCUGGUAGUCCACGCCGUAAACGAUGAGUGCUAAGUGCUAGGGGGGUUUUCCGCCCCCCUUAGUGCUGCAGCUAACGCAUUAAGCACUCCGCCUGGGAGUACGGCCGCAAGGCUG